GGAGGGCGUAGGAGAAAGUAGCCAAUGAGCAUCGAGAACCGUGCUCCCCUGGGGCUGGGAGGAGGUGUGCAGCGCGGGGCCGGGCCGGGAUCGGGGAGCGGCCAGGGCCCCCUGCCGACUCCCCAGAACUCCAGGCUGCAUUAUUGAUGGAGUCCAGCCGGGAGGAUGAAGGAGGGGGGGAGAGGGGAGAGGGACAGCGGGAAGUCAGGGACUCGGGCUUUAACCACUCAGUGGCCCUGGUACUUGGAGUUUCAUGGAAGGUCUGUGAGGGUGAGGAGAAGAGUACCAGCGUGUCACGCUGUGAAUGGGGGUGUCCUAGAAAGCGAGUGCGUGUGAACGAGGUGUGCGUGGGAGGACACGUGUCAGUCACAUCGUGGCAGGGAGUAUGUGCAAGUGAGUUCCAGGGGCCUGUGGUGCUAUAGCUCGGGAAUGGGGGGAGCAGUGUGGUGUGAGUGUGUGUGUGUGUGUGUGUGAGUCUACAUGAGUAAGUGUGUCAGAGUGUUAAAGAUUAGGGUGUGAGUGGCAGGGCGUGGGAGGGCUGCGUGUGUGCGGGGGAGGGUGUGGGUGUGGGGGAGGACGUCAGAGGCUGUCAAGGUGAUGGGCAGGCGGGUGCCAGCUUGAGGGGUGGGAGCAGUGUAUCCACAGGGCCUAUGCAGUAGAGGGGCUCCUGGCUGUGAAUGUGAGCAUAUUCCCUGGGGGAGAGGGGGAUGUGUCCUUACCAUGAUGUACCCUGCAUUCACGUGUCUUCUGCCUUUUCUCCCCAGAUCUAAUGGGGGAGGGGGCAGAGCCAGCCCAGGGGGCAGGUGGGGGGCUGCCUUACCAGUACACGUGCCAUCACAUGUGUGAGCUGGGUGCAUUGAGCAACAGAACUUGGGAGAAAGGAGCUGGCAUUUCCCUCUUCAGGGCUGUUCACCAGGGUGGGACUCUCUGUAGCGACCAAAAGGGUCUUGCUAAGUUGCCCAGGCUGGCCUCAAACUUGUCCUCCUGCAUUCAGACUCUACAGUAGCUGGAAUUACAGCCCAGUUUGGACCCAUAGUUGGAGAAGCCGAAAUCGAUGUGCCGAGGCUGCCCUCUGGUGAUAGAAAAGAGAACAGUACUAUUUGUGCCCUCUGGCGCCCCCAGGUGGGAGCUGGGAUGUUGCGAAGACAGCGAGCUGCAGCCCACAGCGGAGGCAGCCUCAGCCCCGGGCACCUGGAGACCCCCUGCUCUGGCCACUGCCUGGUGCCCCCCGAGGUGCCAGCUGAGGCUGCCCCCGAAGAAUGCCAGCUGCCUGAUCUCUCCGCCUCCCACUCCCUCCACCAGCUUCACACACACUCCAAUCCCGGUCCAGUCGGCUGCUUCCAUUCCCUGAAGAAGAGGCCCUAAAGUUAAAACAGCUGUUAAUUUAUAAACCAAUUUUUCCGUGACUGCUUAAUAAAUCGCCAGCAGCUGC